GACGAACGCUGGCGGCGUGCUUAACACAUGCAAGUCGAACGGAAAGGCCCUGCUUUUGUGGGGUGCUCGAGUGGCGAACGGGUGAGUAACACGUGAGUAACCUGCCCUUGACUUUGGGGUAACUUCAGGAAACUGGGGCUAAUACCGGAUAGGAGCUCCUGCUGCAUGGUGGGGGUUGGAAAGUUUCGGCGGUUGGGGAUGGACUCGCGGCUUAUUAGCUUGUUGGUGGGGUAGUGGCUUACCAAGGCUUUGACGGGUAGCCGGCCUGAGAGGGUGACCGGCCACAUUGGGACUGAGAUACGGCCCAGACUCCUACGGGAGGCAGCAGUGGGGAAUAUUGCACAAUGGGCGGAAGCCUGAUGCAGCAACGCCGCGUGCGGGAUGACGGCCUUCGGGUUGUAAACCGCUUUCGCCUGUGACGAAGCGUGAGUGACGGUAAUGGGUAAAGAAGCACCGGCUAACUACGUG
rnacentral:rRNA from 1 species